UUAGAUGUCCGGGGCCGCACGCGCGCUACACUGAAGGAAUCAGCGUGUGCUUCCCCUGUCCGUCAGGACUGGGUAACCCGUUGAAACUCCUUCGUGAUAGGGAUAGGGGCUUGUAACUGUUCCCCUUGAACGAGGAAUUCUUAGUAAGUGCGAGUCAUAAGCUCGCGUUGAUUACGUCCCUGCCCUUUGUACACACCGCCCGUCGCUACUACCGAUUGAAUGACUUAGUGAGGUCUUCGGACUGGCGCUCGGAGCGGCCUCCGGGCCGGGCCGACGUGCCGGAAAGAUGACCGAACUUGAUCAUUUAGAGGAAGUAAAAGUCGUAACAAGGUUUCC
rnacentral:rRNA from 1 species